rnacentral:rRNA from 2 species
AACGUAGGGGGCGAGCGUUGUCCGGAAUUACUGGGCGUAAAGCGCGCGUAGGCGGCCUCUUAAGUCCGGUGUGAAAGCCCGCGGCUCAACCGCGGGAGGCCACUGGAAACUGGGAGGCUUGAGGGCAGGAGAGGGGAGUGGAAUUCCCGGUGUAGCGGUGAAAUGCGUAGAGAUCGGGAGGAACACCAGUGGCGAAGGCGGCUCCCUGGCCUGUACCUGACGCUGAGGCGCGAAAGCGUGGGGAGCAAACAGG